GUGCAUAAAGAAAAAAGCGAUGCUCAAAAGUAUCGUAAAUUUGUAAUCCAUGUAAGUUCUAAUUUUCUGAUAAGAUGCUACCUACCAAAAGCAUUUUCGCCCCCUUUAUCCCGGGUGUGACCUCAAUCAGAAAAUAGUCUGUAAAAGCUAUGUUAAUGGUGGUCUUGUCGUAUUCAAUAAAGGGUUUUUUGUUACAGAUUUAGAGAUUAUAUAAUUUGCCCAAUGCCUUCUCUGUUGUGUGAUGCCUUUGAAUCAGAGACAAAAUUUUGUCGAAAUCAAGAUGGAUUUACAAAUUCAAAACGCUGUCCUGUUAGUUUUUAUUUGCCUGGCCUCUGUGGCAAAGUCACAAAUCGUUUUAGGCUCCUUUAAUGCAACCACAAAUGGGCUUGAAAGGGCAGAAAAGAUUGGACUUGGGCUUUUGCCAAGUCCAGAAGAUUUAUAUUUUGACAGAGAAAAAAAGUCGUUUUUUACUGGGUGUGGAGAUGGUUGGAUUAAGCGGGUUUGGAUAGACGGGAGGGAUGCAGAAGAACAGGUGGAGGACUGGAAUUUUGUUGGGGGUCGACCUCUUGGGGUGGCUUUUGGUCCCAAUCAGGAGGUUAUUGUGUGUGAACUUACUAAGGGCCUGCUGAAUGUGACGAAGGACAAAGUGGAGGUCUUGUGCAGUGAGGCAGAUGGAUUCAAAUUUAAAGGAAUGGAUGGAGUGGAUGUUUCAAAAGAUGGUACGAUUUACUUCACUGAUGCCACCUUGGGUUUGCUCAUUAAAUACAAUCCCAGCACCAAAAUUUCCACUGUUUUGCUCACUGACCUUGACUACCCCAAUGGUGUGGCCGUCUCUGCCCAAGAAGAUUUCCUUAUAUUCUGUGAAACUUACUCUCUCAAGUGUCCCAAAUACUGGCUGAAGGGAAACAAAUCAGGUCAAGUUGAAACAUUUGCAGAAAGUUUACCAGCAUAUCCAGAUAACGUUAGAGUCGAUGAUGAAGGCACAUUUUGGAUUGGACUUCUGGGGACAAAAACCGAGGAUAAAGAUUCCAUAGUUAAAUAUCUGAAAUUGAGACCACCUCUGAAGAGGGUGUGAAAUAUCUUAAAUCAACAUCGACUGAAGAUAAGACCUAUUUUUGGACCAGCAGGUAUUUUGGGUGUGAAGGAAAACGGGCAGGUUCAAAGCACAAAAUUUUGAAGAUCUAAAUAUUUUUUGCAAUGGGGAAUAAGAGGACUAGAUCAAGGUUGUAUGAUCAUAAAAGGGACGAUAAGAUGAAAGGUCAUGCAAAAUGUAGUCAACAACAAUCUGUUGUUAUUCAAGAUCAACCUGAUGAUGUUCAAGAAACAUCUACUUAGGGAGGAACAAUUCUUCAACAUCAGGUUGGACGGUUGGUGUUGUUUUGGGCAUCUCUAAAAAUUCUGCAGUUUGUAGGAGGGUUGGUGGUAGACUCAUCUCAGUUAACAGAGUUAGUGGCAGGCUCUUGUCUUCUGUUGUAGCGUGUUCUGAGAAGAAGGGGGCAACCUUCUCUGUUAUUUCUCUUGGUAGUUAGAACGAUGACCAUUAAGAGAGGGUAUUAGAAUAAUAUAUUUCUCUUUGUGUUAUUAAUGAUCAUUUAAAUUGUUUCUAAUUUCGCCUCUAGUUAACGAUUGUUUCUUU